AUUCCCCUUUCUCCUCAUCUGUUCUUUCUUCCGCAGAACCCAAUCUCUUCCUUUGCCUCUCUUGUUUAGUUUUUGUCUUUUUCUAGAUCUGUGCCUAUCAGAUACACAAACCUGCAUGGUCUGGUGAAAAGAGAAAAAGGGGAAGACAGAGGAGGUUUAAAAUCAAAAAGGAAAAAGAAUACUUACUGUCUGGUUUUCUUCAUCCCCGCUACUACCUUCGUCAGAGCAACUCUCUCCAUCUUCACCCUUUCCCUCGGGAGUGACAGAGCUGAGAGACGGGAGACCACAAGUGAGCACUAAGUACUCUUUCCUCCUUUUAGUACUGUGAGAAGAGAAAACAUCCAAUGUAAAGUCAGUACACCAAAUAGCAAAGAAGUUGAAUCUU